rnacentral:rRNA from 1 species
UACGUAGGGGGCAAGCGUUAUCCGGAUUUACUGGGUGUAAAGGGAGCGUAGACGGCCAUUCAAGCCAGAUGUGAAAGCCCGGGGCUCAACCCCGGGACUGCAUUUGGAUCUGUAUGGCUGGAGUGUCGGAGAGGCAGGCGGAAUUCCUAGUGUAGCGGUGAAAUGCGUAGAUAUUAGGAGGAACACCAGUGGCGAAGGCGGCCUGCUGGACGAUGACUGACGUUGAGGCUCGAAAGCGUGGGGAGCAAACAGG